AUAUAUUAUUUUAUUAUAAUUAUUUAUUAUUUGUUUAAUUUUUUAUUUAAAUUUUAACUUUAAUUUAAAAAGUUAAGUAACAAUGAUAAAAUUAGUAUAAUUAUGUGGUAUAUAAUAAAUUUAGUUGAUAGAUUAAAUUAACGAACUCGGCAAAUUAAUGAAUAUUCGCCUGUUUAACAAAAACAUGUCCUUUUGAGUUUAAUUUAAGGUCUGACCUGCCCACUGAGCAUAUUUUAACGGCCGCAGUAUAUUAACUGUGCAAAGGUAGCAUAAUCAUUAGUCUUUUAAUUGAAGGCUUGUAUGAAUGGUUGGACGAGAUAUUAACUGUGUCAAUUUAAUUAUUUGAAUUUUAUUUUUUAGUUAAAAAGCUAAAAUACUAUUAAAAGACGAGAAGACCCUAUAGAUCUUGAUAAAUUAUAUAUUAUAUUUAUAAAGAAUACUUUAAAUUUAAUAUAAAUAUUUAUUUUGUUGGGGUGACAAUAAGAUUUAUAAAACUCUUAUAUAUUAAUAACAUAAAUUAAUGAAUAAUUGAUCCAUUAUUAAUGAUUAAUAAAUUAAGUUACCUUAGGGAUAACAGCGUAAUUUUUUUAGAGAGUUCUUAUCGAUAAAAAAGAUUGCGACCUCGAUGUUGGAUUAAGAGAUACUUUUGGGUGUAGCAUUUCAGAAAAGUAAGUCUGUUCGACUUUUAAAUUCUUACAUGAUCUGAGUUCAAACCGGCGUAAGCCAGGUUGGUUUCUAUCUUUAGUAAAAUUAAAUAUUUUAGUACGAAAGGACCAAAUAUUUGAAUGAUUUUUUUAUAAAAGUUGAAUAUAAGUAAUA
rnacentral:rRNA from 1 species